GAAAACCCUCCCUAACCCUAAGGCCUACUAGGGCCCAUCUACCUAACCCUAGCAGUCGCGCGCUCCCGGGCUUCUCUCCCAGCCGCCGCCGCCGCCUCUCCCUUCCCUCACCUCGCUCCUCUCUGUCCUGACCAAGCAGCAACGGCUGAGCCCUGGCCGAGCCGCUCUCCCCCGACGCACCUGCACCGACCCUAGUGCCACUAUGUGAGCCUGUGCCAUUGCCACGCCCGGAAGUGGCUCGAUGCCCAGUGGUUUUUACGCGGCGCGCGACGGGUCAUCUCACAGUCCCAUCUGCAGGAGAGUUCGGAGCGGAGGCCGAGCGGGACCGCGGGAGGGGGCGGCCGGGGUCCGGUCCGGGGAGGCGGGGACCAGGGCAACGCACAACGCGCCGGCGGUGACCAGUAGCCCGCUCUGACACCAGCUCCUCGCAUCGCAUCUCCCCUACUAGGCCUCCUCGUCCCGACAUGCAAUUGAAAAAGAGAUAGAUCUUUUUAUAGGCGAAGUGUUGAAGAUGGCUUUGGUGAAAGAAAUGUCUUGUUAGCAUCAAGUAAGUGGCGACAUCACAACCCCUACAAGCUUGUGCCUUAAAACAAGAGGAUACAAGAAGUUGGAGUGCUUUUAUGAAGGCUUUUGCGAAUCACUUGAAGCGUUAGUACUUUUGUGAAUGAUUUUGUAAAGUGUUUGCAAAUAUGUGCAAAACAUAAUAACAUGUGUAGGUUUUGUGAAUGAUUUUGUUGUGGUGCUUGUUGAUGGUUUAUGUGAUGUGGAUCUAUCAUUGUGCAAUACUAAUUAAAUUUGUAUAUCUAUGUGAUUAUGUGUAUAAAAAUUGGUGAUUUAUGAUGCUUUUGUAUA